AAAAUUGGCAAUCGUUUACUCACAAAAUUGAUUCUAUUUAAAAAAAUAGUUCUCAAUCUGUGAAAGAUCCUGAAGGAAAAAUGUUGCAGCAACUUUACUUAGAGACUACCAAUAUAGAGUCAAAACAUAUUCUGCUUAUACAAUGCUUCACUGCUACCUCCAAGUAGGCAUGCAGGUGCAGCUUGGCAAAAAGAAAUUUAAACCCACAAUUAAAGAAAGCAGAGAUGCUUGUAUUGCUAAUGUCAAUAUUCCUGGCCAAGUUCUAAAUUUCAUAACAGAAAGACGUGCAAAAAUAUGCAAUCAAUUUGGACGAUCUGCUUCCG